UGUGACAUAAAUAUGCUAAUGUUAUGCAAACGAGCGGACACAGUUUACCCACAACAGCUGAAGGUGUUUGGAGCAGCAUGGUGAGAGGCUGUUGAAUGCGGCUCUGUGUUGCCAGGUGCUGCCGGGACAGAUUUUCCCGUGGUAGCGGCAUUCCUCCAACAUGUGUCCCCCCACGGCCUCCUCUGCGGCCGCCCCCUCUCCACCGACACUCCGCCGCCGCAUAUAUGAACCAUGUGGGCCCGAAAGCUGCAAACACAUGGCGGAGGCGACAUGCAAAGCAGAGGGGGGAAAGCCGGAUUAGGAUUAUGAAAAUAUGGAUUAUUAAAACCUCAAGCAUCGUAGCUGAAGCCCCUGCAGCCGGCCGGCCCUGCAGUGACUCGCAGCUCUCCAUGGCUGGUGGCCAGAGCCGACUGGGACAGCUUCCAGCCUCAGACGCUCUGUGAUUAACCCAGGAGCGGUCAAACUCUGCAGGACGCCCUCCACAACCAGCCGCUGCUAUUUAUCCACUUUCCAAUGAAACCAAUUACUUUUAGAGCUGGCCUCGGCGCCGACACUAUAUGUGUUGUUCGUGCAGACCAAUAGAGUAUGGGUGUGAAAGGAGAGGCAGACGUGAAGUAGGAAACCCUCCUGAGCUGCUUCAACAGGCUGUAAAAUAUACCUACAGUCAGUUUCCAUGGAGAGAGGGAGAGAGAGAGAGAGAAAGAGAGAGAGAGAGAGAGAGAGAGAGAGAGAGAGAGAGAGAGAGAGAGGCUUUAAUCACAAUCUAAGCGUUUUAAUAAUGACAUGAUUAUUUUUAUCAUCUGAUAGAAAAGCAGCAUUUCGGAUUUUCUGUUGCCAAUGAUACAUUAAAAAAGGAAGUAAUUCCAGUUUAAUUAUUUUUUUUGUACAUUGUGAGUGUAGAGCUUUAACAUCAGCCCCUCUAAACCAGAAGUUAGAAGAUAGGGUUAUUAUUAGUUAAAGUAUUGGUUUUUUUUUCUGAUGCAUGUUACUGUCUGCAUUACCUGUUGUGUCACAGUGUUUAUGCACACAAAACAAAACAAAACAUGAUUAAGGUGUACAAAUCUGAAAAGGAGUGGAGAGAAGAACAUACUUAUAUAUUGAUUUGAUAUAAUUGAUUUAGUCUUUAAAGAUUCAUUAUCCAGCUUCACUGUGAUGACUUUUCGAAGACCUCUUCUGAUAUAUCAUACCAUGUAUCUUUGUCACACAGAAGACAUUUUUUUAAUUCAAUCAGAAUUUUGUUUCCUCACUAUCUGAGUAUAAUACCUGUAGGUGAACACAUUGGACUGUCCAGCUGAUUUAAACGUUAGAAAGCUUCAUUUAUUUAUUUAUAAAGCCUUGAUUGGCAACAUGCCACCAAAUAUUACCUCCUUAUUAAAUGUGUCUCAGACCCUCUAUGUUCUGGUAAUUGGUGGAUGCUCUAUGAUGCCGAGGUCAGACAUUAUAACCAUGCCUUUAGUCCGACCAGGCAGACGUAGGUCUUCUGGACCUGUCAACCCCUAAAACUGAUCGUUUAAUCUUGUGUAGUGUGUCACAGUGAGCAACCAUCAAUUCUACAUAUCACACCACGAAGUAGGACUGAUUUCUGUUGAAUAUCUGCACAGUUACUAAAAGCUCAAACUUUGAAAAGUUGAACUUUGCGCCCUCUGUGGACAAAGCGAUCAUCCUCCUUUGUCCCUGUUCUCCUGUUCACUCAUUGACUGUGUUUUCUGACAAAAAUCUAACAUGAUUUUAAACAGUUAAAGGUAUAACUCAUUGUAAAGAUAUGCUGAAACAGAUGUAAAAUAAAAAAAAGUCAUAGUGCCAGUCUUGCUGCUGAUCAUCUGGUUUGCAUUAGAAGAAUUAGUGUUAAUUUCUGUUGCUUUCAUAAUGUUAUUAAAACUCCUCAAUGUGUGUA